rnacentral:rRNA from 1 species
CACGUAGGGGGCAAGCGUUGUCCGGAUUUAUUGGGCGUAAAGAGCUCGUAGGCGGUCUGUCGCGUCGGCUGUGAAAACUCGGGGCUCAACCCCGAGCCUGCAGUCGAUACGGGCAGACUAGAGUGCGGUAGGGGAGACUGGAAUUCCUGGUGUAGCGGUGAAAUGCGCAGAUAUCAGGAGGAACACCGGUGGCGAAGGCGGGUCUCUGGGCCGAAAUUGACGCUGAGGAGCGAAAGCGUGGGGAGCAAACAGG